UUUAAGAAAUAACACUUGAGAAAAUAGUACUCUAUAAUAUAAUCAAAAUACAUACAUUGAAUAAUAAAUGGGCUCCCUAGUCAAGGUACUUAACAAACCCAAGACAAAGAAAUAUCAUAAAGCUAAAAUUCAUUUCAACUUUUUAUUCAAACAUGUUCCUUUCAUUGGUUUAAUAAUUGCUUAUUGCCUAUCUUGUCUACCUUAUUCUGUUUUAUUUUUAUUUUAUUUUAUUUUAUUGGAUAUUUUAUUUAUUUACAUUUCAAAUGUUAUCCUUUUUCCUGGUUUGCUCUCCGGAAAACCCCCUAUCCCAUCCUCCCUCCUCAUGCUUCUUAUGAGGGUUCUCACCCACCCACCCACUUCUGCCUCCCUGACCUGGUAUUUCCCUAAAAAGCAUGGAUACUUUGGGGAAUAGAUUACUAAGAUCUCAUGUUCUUUGUUUCAUGCCUCUAAAGGUAUCUUUUGGAGAUUUAAUAGGACGACAAAACAUAUUUCUAAAAGGAACCAUAUAUUGCAUGCAUAAAAGGAGAGCCACAGUGAGUGAACUGUGACAAUAUGUGGCAAUCCUAAGAGCUCCUCUGAAUGAGAGCAAACUCUGAUAACAGAUCUCUUUGUUCUCUGGGCCCAGAGAUGCCUCAAAUGGAGUUAGUGCCACCUCCUUCAUAGUAAUGCUUCUGCAUUCGGACCAUUUGCACAUUCUGCUGAUGAUCCUUGUUUAAACAGACACUAGUAAGGUGAAUUAUAUUUGAGUAACCCUCUGUAUAUCUAAGGGCACAGAUCUCUCUUACCAGGUCUCAGCAAAAUACCAGGAAACACAAAGGAGUAUUUCAACUAAAUAACUGUUGUAAAUUCAGCAUCAGGUGAUCUGUACUGCUCUUAGGCCUUUCCUAUGAUACUGGUGCCAAAAGCAACACAAAUCACAAGUAUUGUGACAUAACUACCUUUCCUCUACUUCCUUUAUACUAGUCCCUCAGCAUGUGUGCAUGCACAUGUAGGCAUCACACACACACACACGCACACGCACACACACACACAAUCACAUACAGAAGCUUAACCUUAAUUCUUAUGAAUUUGUUCUUCAGUAUUUUAAUUUGUUUUAGAUGUUCGGUCAUCUGUUUUUCAAUGUGAACGGGAGCUGAUGGCUAAGAUUACGAACAAAUGCAACUGCACUGAAUCUAAGAUUAAUGUGGUAUUGAACAUUAAUAAAAGAAAGACAAAGGUCCUACUCCAUGAUACGUAUGGGAGCCAAAGGUUAAUUGUGUAGUUACAAGACAAACAUAGUGCUUAUGUACAUUUUCUUAGUGUUGCAUGAUUCAGUUUUUCAAGGAGUUGAGGCAGAACAUGAAAUCUCUUACCUUCAACUCUUAAAGAACAAACUCAAAAACAACUCCACAAAACAACCACCACCAACCAAAUUUCUCUAAGAGAAAUCCCAAUGGGUUUUAAAAGAAAGGGCAACUUGACAUUAAACUUUGACAUGUGGAUUUAUCCUUUGUCCUUGAUCUUGAUCAGGGAUCUUGAGAGGAGAAGGCUUUCUGUUAGUUGCUCAGAAUGACUAACAUGCAUGCAUGCAUGUCAUGACAGAGAGAACAAGUGCUAAAUAGAGAUGAAAAAUGUUUUUCCUCUUUCCCUUGCUAAGUCAAUAGAAUUCCCUCAAUCAUCAGCAUCGGUAAAGGGGACUGAGAGCGAAUGGUUGAAAUCAGAGCGUUUCGUCCCAUUAUAUCUUCCAUCUGAAACUCCUAUAAACUGGGCGUCCACCUUGGUCAUAUACUUUACUUGCAGGGCAUAAACAAAAUGGUACGCUAUCAAGAGCUGUGUGGAGCAGGGGUUGAAAUGAAGUGAUGGAAUUAAUAACUGGAAUACAAAAGUGAAUUGUAUAAAAGAAACCAAGUAACUUAAUCUUAGCAAGCCCAGGAAGCCAGUAUAAUUAAAUAGUAGCUGUGGUAUCAGUUAAUUAUUUUUCACAAAUAGAGCUAUCAUUAUAUAUGACCAAGAAAUAAUGUUGCUAAAUUUAUUUGGCAAAGUAGCAAAAAAAUGAAUAGAAAGUUACUUUAUCAAUUAC
rnacentral:lncRNA from 1 species